UACGUAGGGAGCAAGCGUUGUCCGGAAUUACUGGGCGUAAAGGGCGCGUAGGCGGCCUUCUAAGUCGAACGUGAAAUCCCCGGGCUCAACCCGGGAACUGCGUCCGAUACUGGAAGGCUUGAAUCCGGGAGAGGGAUGCGGAAUUCCAAGGUGUAGCGGUGAAAUGCGUAGAUAUCUGGAGGAACACCGGUGGCGAAGGCGGCAUCCUGGACCGGUAUUGACGCUGAGGCGCGAAAGCCAGGGGAGCAAACGGG
rnacentral:rRNA from 1 species